ensembl:snRNA U5 U5 spliceosomal RNA
UGAUUAUGGUUUUUCUUCAUAAAGCACAAGUCUUUUGCCUUUUACUAAAUACUUCCAUGGAGAGGAGCACCAGUGAGUUUAAACUAUUUUUGGCUGGUGAUUUAAAGCAGUUCACUG